CCUACGGGUGGCAGCAGUGAGGAAUAUUGGUCAAUGGGCGCAACCCUGAUCCAGCCAAGUCGCGUGAGGGAGGACGGCCCUACGGGUUGUAAACCCUUUUUGCAGGGGAGCAACGGGCGUCACGUGUGGCACCACUGAGAGUACCCGGAGAAAAAGCAUCGGCAAACUCCGUGCCAGCAGCCGCGGUAAUACGGGGGACGCGAGGGUUAUCGGGAUUUAUUGGGUUUACGGGGGGCGUAGGGGGAUCGUUAAGUCAGUGGGAAAACUGGGGGGCUCAACCCCUGACCGCCAUUGAAACUGGCGCUCUUGAGUGGAAGAGAAGUAUGCGGAAUGCGUGGUGUAGCGGUGAAAUGCAUAGAUAUCAGGCAGAACACCGAUUGCGAAGGCAGCAUGUCGGCUUCCGACUGACGCUGAAGCACGAAAGCGUGGGGAGCGAACAGGAUUAGAUACCCUUGUAGUC
rnacentral:rRNA from 1 species